rnacentral:rRNA from 1 species
UCGAGAAUCUUCCGCAAUGGGCGAAAGCCUGACGGAGCGACACCGCGUGCAGGACGAAGGCCCUCGGGUUGUAAACUGCUGUCACGCUCUAGGAAUCCCGUGUUGUGAAUAGCAGCACGGUUGACUAAGGCGAGAGGAAGUGGCGGCUAACUCUGUGCCAGCAGCCGCGGUAAGACAGAGGCCACGAACGUUGUUCGGAAUCACUGGGCAUAAAGCGCACGUAGGCGGCUAGGUCCGUCCGAUGUGAAAGCCCCCGGCUCAACCGGGGAAUAGCAUCGGAUACAGCCUGGCUUGAGGACGGUUGGGGUGAGUGGAACUCCUGGUGGAGCGGUGAAAUGCGUAGAUAUCAGGAGGAACACCGGUGGCGAAAGCGGCUCACUGGACCGUUACUGACGCUGAGGUGCGAAAGCUAGGGGAGCAAACGGGAUUAGAUACCCCCGUAGUCCCUGAGCGGGCUGGCAAGGCGCAU